GGCGGAUAUGGUUCCGAUUAAAAACGAUAUCGGCCAUUUAAAACCAUAUCUGCCGGCGGAUACGGUAUCCGCCGGUGGAACCAAAUCCGCCGCUACACCGGCGGCGCGUUUCCGUUUUACACCCUGGCGAAGGCAAUCUCCGCAAAAAUAGCUACAAAGCGACUAGUGAAGAGUCUAAAGUUUGUUUACAUUAUCAGCUGGGCGCGCGAUGCAAAAGUCCGCAUCGAAGAUAUCUGCAGAACAUGUGCAAAUGCAGCUAAGCUUAUUACUAUUGUAAAGAUGGAAAGGGAUAACGAUGGUAGAUACCUUACAUUCGACUGUGAAUUAGAUGGAGUUAGAAUGAUAUUAGGAAAUGUUUAUUUCCAACUAGGAACAAGGCAAAUGAGCAAAUAGAAGAGUCCUGCAAAAGAUCAAUAUCAUUAUAAAUAAAAAUUCUCUCAGUCAUGUUAUUAUAUUAGGUGGUGAUUUUAAUAUGAUAUUAGAUGAUAAAUUAGAUGAUAAGGGGUCAACCAUACAGGUGAAAUCUAGAUUUAAUACAGAAUUUUUGGAGUUCAUGGACAAAUUUCAAUUAAUAGAUAUUUGGAGGAAAAUAUAUCCAGGAAAACAACAGUUUUCUUUAAGACAGAAGACACUCCCUAUUCAAAGUAGGCUAGAUUAUUGGAUAAUAUCAAAAGAAGUUGAAACAUUGGUGCUGGAAUAUGACAUUUUACCGUAACUCCAGACCAUUCUGGAAUCUUGCUUACCUGUAGUAGUGGAAAAAAAGAAGUGAAGCGAGGUCCUUCAUAUUGGAAAUUCAAUUAUUAUGAUAAAGAAUAUAUGUUCUGCUAUGAAAAAUGAGAUUCUUAGUUCAGUGGAAAAAGCAACACAGAAAUGUCUUUUCUAAUUACUCAUUGUUUUGGGGCUUUAUUAGAUUAAAGAUUAGAGAGUGUACUCGAAAAUAUUCUAAAGAAAAGGCACGAGAAAGAAAUAAGCUGAUUUUAGAGUCCAAAGUGAAAGACUUAUGGGGCGUUGCAAGAAAGUUAUGUUGCAAUUGAUUGCAAAUCGACUGCAACUUUGCAGCCGAUUCCGAUCGACUGCAACUAGCAAUCAAUCGCCAAUUUGCGUUGCAAGAAAAAGGCUUGCGAUUGAACGCAAGUUGCAGCUGACCUGCAGACGAUUUGCAGCUGUAAACAGGGUCUGCAGCACAAGACUAGCCGAAAAAGCAAAAUAAUGGCUUGCAACAAUCCUGUUUGUGGAAGAGAUUAUGACAAAGAAGUCUGGAACCUCAGAACCACCAUAACUGUGUCUGCUACAAUGUGUGUUCUUGCAACCAGCUGAUUGAUUCAUUUUAUCAACUCUUGAAUGGUUGAUUAUCAGAACUGAAUUCAGAGCUGCUCCUGUCUGUAGCAGGGGCCGCGGAACCGGGGGGGGGGGGGGCUGGGGGGGCUUCAGCCCCCCCCCCCCACUUUUUUCCAAAACCGUGUACAAAAACAUAAAAAUGACCAUAUGAUUGUUAUUUUUAGCAUGGUCAGCCCCCCCCCCACACUUUUGGCUCAGCCCCCCCACUUUGAAAACCGUUCCGCGGCCCCUGUGUAGUAACAUCAUUAUAAGAGUGGACUACAGAAUGAGGGCGUUGCUUGUUUAAAAACUUCACUCCAUGGAGCUCUCCAAAUUCAUCUCAAAUUAGACUGCUUCUGGAAACCAGAUUUGUUCCUUCAAGCAGAGACGCUUGUGGCUUUCCUGACUGGACUUCUAUGGAUUCUUCAUGCCAACCUUAAGAACUGUGGUCUUCUGCAUGAUACACAUCAAUUUCAAACAAGACAUUCUGUGGUGAAACACUUGAUGUAGAUGAUAUGAAAUUUAACUGAAUAUAACUGAAUCUCAGAAGUAAUUCCUCGGGAGCAAGAAACAUUGAAAAAUGAAAAUAAAAGGUCCAUCAAUAAUGAA